rnacentral:lncRNA from 1 species
CUAUACUGCAUGCCUAUCUCUAAAUUUACUAGAGAUCUCGAAUGAUCCGUCAUCAACAUAAAAUUCCAUAACAGACAAAAGGCUAUACGAAUAAAUUAGAAUAGCCCAUUACUGGGGUUCAUGACCAAGGACAGGCACAUGCACAUGGGAUCAGGGGGAAACAAAGGUCACAUAGAAAAAGUAUUUUAAUCUAUAGACAUAGAAAAAACACAUGUGUGUACUAGGAAAACAAUACUUAAAUAAAGUAUAACAAUGAAUGCAAGCAAACUAAGUAAUAUCUUCUGAAAAUGUAACCAUACCGUCGUCCUACAUGUUUUAUUGGUACAUGUUUACAAUUGAUAUGCCCAAUAAUGUCUUAAUUUGAUAUAAUUUCAAAGACAGUAAGGUAAGAAUAACAUUUCAAAAUAUGUACAAAAAAGUAAAAAAAAAAAAAACUUUUCUUAUACAUGUAAACCAGUAAAAAUUGAUAUUGAAGUGUGUCCUUUUCAUUUGAUGAGCAGUCCCAAUUUCCUCGAAAAGUUCAUGAAUGCACAACAAAUAGUAACACCUAAUGCAAAUAAAGGUAUAUCUAAAAUUAGAUGUGUUAAUAUGUUUGCUUUGAAGGCACAUGUUAUUGUGGUGUAAUGAGAUAUAUGAAAUUCCAAAUGUGUUAAAUAUGCAGAUAAUUGAAGAACACAUGCAGAUUUUGGUUGUUCUACCAAACAGACAAAUAUUCUUCGGGACAAUUAGAUGAUAUGUGUAAAGAACAGCCCGUAAAAUGAUACGUGUGGAUCCUUUAUUCUUCAACACAAGAAGGGUUCUCUCAAAACAGGCAUUUUAAAUACAGACAAAUAUAUAAUGGAGAAAAUUCAAACAUAGAUAUAAUCUUGAUAUUAAAUUGGGCACUAGCUACAAGCUAAGAUAUAUAAAAAAUCUAAUAUAUUUUGUGUUUGCUCAAUCAUUAAUGAAAUGCAAAUUGUGAAUAAUAAUUCGUUUAAAGAAACCCAGUAUGGUUCAAUUUUGUCAGAAUAAGCUAAAAACAUUGAUUGUGAAUUAUUUACUUGCAAGUGAACAAUUCGACCUCAUGGAAUCCGUAUUCAUGUGAACUUCGAUUUAACCCCUUAGCUUGAGAUGAAUAACACGUGAAUUGUGUGUGUAAAGUUAUUUAAAGGAAAAGAAUGUCAACAUUGAAAGUGAAACAAAGGAAAAUCAUUUGAUUGACUGAUUCGAUCCACAAAAAUCAUUAUUAUACAGGGAAAAACGAUAAUAAACAUUUAUUUUUCAUCUAUAAUAUGAAAUUAAAUAGACCUAGAUAAUCCCAACAGCACGAGUUUGCCUUAUCUAUCUAUAGAUAUAGAAAGAUGUGGUGUGAGUGCCAAUGAGACAACUCUCCAUCCAAAUAACAAUUUAUAAACCAUUAUAGGUCAAUGUACGGCCUACGACACGAAGCCUUAUCUAUAUUUAUGUUUACAUCGCUUAUAUGGUCAUCGGAUGACUUUAUAGGUCAACUCGAUAGUUAAUAAGAUGGCAUAUAGACGAAAAUACACACGAAACGAAGUUACGUAUUUUUAUGCCAGUGCCCUGUUAAUUGUUUAUUUUAGACUUUUAAUAGUUUGGAAACAUGUUUUACAUUGUUAUAAAUCAAAUAUGAGAAUUUGAUUAAAUUGGUGAUCAUGAAUUUGACAGCUAGUGCCCCUU